GGUUAUAGCUAUACAAUCUCUCUCUCUCUCUCUCUCUCUUUUUCCUCUCUCCUCUCUCUCUCUCUCUUCUUUCCCCCUCUCUCUCCUCUCUCUCCACACACACACACACACACACACACACACACUCUUGGCUGAGAUUCACACCGUGACAAGUAGUGCACCUUUGUUAACACAGUGGAGAACAAGUAUGAGAGGGGAAGCCACCAUGUUAAUGGAUUAUAGCCUGGAAGAGCUCACCUAAGGCUUUGUGCAGUAAAGUCCCACUGCUUGGCUGUUGAAAAUGCCCCCGCAGAACUCUUCUCCACACUUCAUCCAUGAGGAUUUUCUGAGAAGCAAGAGGGGCAAAGGCCCAGAGUGAUUCACUGAAGGUGCAUAUGGUAUUCAUUCUGCAGAGAACAAAUAUGGAACAAGAGAAAAAGUGACAGUCGCACCAUUUGCAUUUGAAAAUUCCCCUUUCGUCACCAGUUCUUGGAUGUCAACAUAUGGAGAAGGAUGGAAGAAGUCUGCUUUGGGCCAGCUCUUACACAAGUUCUUCAGGCUUUUCUCUAUCUAUAAAAGCCAUUAUUCUUCUCAUUGACCUUUCUGCUAGCCUAUCUAGGUCAUCACUAUGGUGAAUGUUAGAGAAGCGAGAGACAAUGGUUAGAUCUAUUGGAACUAACACAUUUAUGAUAUAUAGUUAUACAUUCUACUAGAAGUGUCUAGGCACAGGUUAAUUUUUAUUCAAUUUUUGUUUCUCGAGAAAGGGAAGGGUUGAUGAGUGUGAAAUUGGAGCAAAUGCAUAUUUCCAAUCUCUGGAGAAAUUGUGUGUUCACUCUAUGUCUCCUAAUUCACACUGAUUUGAAAUUCAUGUCACUAUUCCCUAUAGCAUACACAUAUUUGUCUCAUAUGGCAGUGGAUUUGACUUAAAUUCUGUUUUCUGAUUCACUCAUAUGCAAAUGUUAUAGCAUAGUAACAAACUUUCUAGUGGUCCUGAUUCCUGAUGGAUUUAGCUGGUCAUUUGGAUAUUUCAAUCGAUCCAAACAUUCAAUGCAAAGUUCCAGCAAAUGCCUCUAAUUUGACAGUGUUAGUUGUGAGCUAUUUUUUUUUUUCUCUUGUAUCAACCACUGUAGCUAAUUAGGCCGCAGAUUCGAAUCUUCAUGAAUUUUUCAGGCUAAUACGUGUUCUUUCCCAGGGCUAAUUUGCAGCUAUCAGAGGAAUGACUCUGGUGUAUGUUGUUGGUGGUGUCUGACCUUAUUCCCCUAUUCAGAUUGAAAUUAGUUGGGGGACUGUGGCCAGGGAAGUCUUUUAGUAAAUCAUGACUCAGAAAACAGGCCUGCUUUUGAGAAUGUCCUUUUCUUUCUCUCCUUCAUCACCUCUUCCAGUUUCUGUUGCUUUAGGCUCCAUUAAGAAGGAGCAAUAUUCAAGGAAACUCCUACCCAGGAUUUCAGAAACUGAAAAAAAUAAGUAGAGAGCAUGGUUGUGAAACUCAUGAAUGGGGCUAGAAUAAUUUAAUUCUAGGAGAUUUCUAUGUUAACAAUGGGGGAAGAAUUUGGCAUAUACAAGUGAAUUACAGAAUUUUCUAUAAAUGAAUGAAGAAUAAGAAAAAAUAUUUAUCCAGGUGACUACCUCUUGCUAUGUUAAGGGUCUUGGAAGAGUAUAGGUUUCCUAGCGUGGGAAAGUUAAGGCUGUUCCAUCUAACCUUCUUCUUUGGAUAUAUAGGGGGAAAAGACAGAGUAUUAAUUCCCCAUGCCACUCCACAAGUUUUUGUUUUCCAAUUACAGCUGAUUGAUGGUUAGAAUCAUAAAUAAGAAUUACACAACUGUUAAUGUGUGUUGCAAAAGUCAUCAGUACUCAUUUCCACAAAUUGGUUAUAAUUUUCAGUAAGAAAAUAACAAUUAAUUCAUUCACUGAGGAUUGCAACCAGUUAGCCUAUUGGAGAAGGGUAUGGUGGUAUGACUGGAAGACUGGCAUUCAGGACUUCAAGGUCAAAGAUGACUCUUGGAAAUCCCAAGAACUUUGUAUUCUUACAUUCUCAGGAUAAAAAAGAGAAUAUUACUUACAAACCAGGAUGAGAAUGUCUAAAAAAAGACGUAUUUCAUUUUCUAUUUUUCCCCUUUGGCAAUUUUCUUUCCUAAUUCUCCAUUGGGAAGAGACAAUGUGGUAUUUAGCCCCUUUUCUCCCUGAUGGUUUGAAUAUAAUUAGGGGUUCAGAAAUGUUAUCCUUCAGUUCUAAAAGAAGUCUCCAAAUUGGAGCACAAGGGGUCAUUUUACUUAUGGGUGUACAUACUUUUUAAUUAAAAAUUAUUUCAUUGCUUUUGUUAAGUAAUUAAAAUUUACAAAGUGAUUUCUCACCAAUAUUUAUUAAUAUUAAGUUGUUUUUGGCAUACUCCAGUAAAUAGCAAGCAAUUGCUUUACUCUGCAUGUGUAAUUAGAGUAACUAAGGAAUUAUAUUUUUUCUUUGAGUACAGUUGACACUAUCACAUUUUUCUAAGUUUUUGCUCAUUUUUAUUUCCAUUAGUGAAUGCUUCAUAGAAGCCAAGAUAAGGGGUGUCUGUUAGUUAGGAGGAAAGCUGCUUCUCUUACUGAGCUUUUGAGAAAUACAAACAGAUAUUGUGUGCCAUGUUUGCAUUCUCAUACACUUUGUUUUCCUAAAUAUCUUUCUUUUUCUUUUCUUGAUUGAUCAUGUAUCUUGCUUUCAUGAUCUAUGUUUAUUAAACAUUUCUAUAAUACAUACAUUCACUGAAAAAUACUUAAUUGUAUAUAUUUAGACAUCAUUCAGAUUGGAACAAAUAAGUGGUGUGUCUAUUCAUCUACAACGUUUGCUAGUCUGCUUCCUUAUUGUACCCUUUUCUCUUGUUCUUCUUCAGCUAUUAUCAAUUUCCUUGCAUGCCUCUUUAUUAUCAGCAAAUGCCCUUUAAGGGUUCCCAGUGUGCAGACUCCCUGCUGUGUGAGCAGACUUCCGUGCAUUUCAACUUAGCCUCCUUACAUGCUGAGGAGCUCAGCAUCAGAUGGAGGGAAAGCUGAGGCAAUCUGAUAGUUUCCCCCAAAAUAAAAGAAAAUGAAAAGCAAAUGUGAAACAACACACCCAGGAGACAUCUGUUAUUCUUAACCAUGAUACAAGAUCAAGGGCUGCCAAUGCAGGAAAGGUUAAAUGGCCAUGCAGGACCAUGCUGAGGGAGCAUCCCCUGGUGGACAUCGCAGAUAAUGAAGGCAGAAUCCAUGUAUAGCAUAGGUGGCACAUUCUAAGUAACAAAACCUGAAGUUCUUGCUUGGAACAAUAGACUCAAAGGGAACUUUCCUGGUUACUGUUUGAAGCAAGAAAAUCAGGGCCAACCAAAGAAUACACCGUAACCUAGAUUUAUUGUUGUGUCUCAGCUAUCAUCCCACCUGAAACUACCCCUUCCUCUACAAGAUAAAAUGUAUGAAACAAUGGUUUCCAGAACCUGGACAUCAGAAAACAGACUGUCAACCUGACUUUCUCCAAACUUCUUGCUUUGAGAGCAUUUGAGGCCAUGGAAUUGAAAGGAGGAGCCAUGGCAGAGCCCAAAGGAUCCUGUCAUUGAGAGGACAGGGUCAGGAAUAUGAAGUUGUUUCAAGGCUGUCACCGUGUUGUAGUAGGUUAAGCUUCUGCAUGCAGCACCAGCAUUCCUUAUGGGUGACAGCCAGAGUUCCGGCUGCUCCAUUUCUGAUCCAGCUCUCUGCUAUGGCCUAGAAAAGCAGCAGUGGAUGGACCAGGUGCCUGGGCCUCUGCACCCAUGUGGGAGACCGGGAAGAAGCUCCUGGCUCCUGGCUUUGGAACAGCCCAGCUCCAGCUAUUGUGGUCAUUUGGGAAGUAAACUAGUGGAUGGAAAACUUCUCUCUGUCUCUCCCUCUCUCUGUCUGUAUCUAUGACUCUCAAGUAAAUGAAAAAAAUCUUUAAAAAAGUUUGCAUGGCUAGUGCUUGCAGGGCAGAUAAAUGAGAGGCUUGCUGCUCAGAGAGAAACCUGAGAUGUGCAGAGUGUGGUCCUCGAGAAUUCUCAGUACAGUGGUCAGUGUGUGCAAGUGAUAAAAGUACUUGAGGAAAAGAACCACCUGGAAGGAGUGUAAGGAACAGAACCUGAGUGCUUGAGCCAGGCAGAAUCAGAACAGUGCCUGUUUCCCAGCCAGCCAGACUGGACAGCUCAAAACUGAUGGGGCUCUGUAGGGUACAGAGGAGUCUUGCCCCAGUUGUCAGGGAGAACUCUUCCUAGAGUAAUGCUUGAUGGUCUUGCCUAAAAAUUCUUAAAACUAAGACCCCAACGAAACAAGUGCUUCAGGUCACACCAUAAGCUAGAGGUGCAGGAAGCUGUUUUUUGCUAAGUCAGUGGGAAAGAAUUCUGAUUGUGAAAAGCUCUGCGGGGUUGACCUUUAUUGUUAGUGAGAUAGAAUGGCCCUAAAUGGCUAUGAGACUUCACAUACUAUACCCUACCUACCACCAGUCAUAAGGAGAAUCACUGCAAACUCCAACAGCCAAUCCUGGAAGAGCUCUCCCAUCAAAAGAAGAGUAAUAAACAGAAAGGCUCAUGGAACAUAUCUUUAAAAAUGAUGAAAGCAAAGGGAAAAACAAUAAUGAGACAUCAUUAGAGAAUGACAACCUCAUGAGAGAACUUGCCUCAGAAAAAGUAUCCAUAGUACAGCUGGAAAAUGCGACUGAACACCUCCUACAUGCAGAAAAAAUGCCUCUGUCGGUUAAAAAACUACAAGGUAGAAUAUCACAGAAGUGCAAAAGAUCUUGUAAGAUAUAUAGCAUAAGAAUAGAAGGCAAUAGACCCAGGACUAUCAUAGCUUAGAAAAUAAAAGAAAGAGAAAAAUAAAGCCACUGCAGAAAUGAAGGCCACAUAGGACAAAGAAACAAACCUAUAAAAAGAUUCUCAAAUGUUGUGAAACACAGGCAUCAGAAUUGAGAACAGUGAACAAAGUGAAAUGAAAUGAACAAAAUUAAAAGAAUGGAAGCGAUAGACAUGGAUUAACCUGAAGUGGACAAACAUUACAGCAAGGCUAAUAGAACAGUUUGUAGACAUUGGUGUCAAAGCAUCCAAUGUCUGGAAAAAUAUUUUUGUGUACAUUGAAAACAAGGGGAUUUGAACAUAAGCAUUUUUAGUACCCCAAAGGAAAUAAAUGGAAUAUUGGGUUUGAAAACUAUCCUUAAACAUUAAUAAGACUUUAGACAAAAAAAUUUUGAAUUUCAUCCAGUACAUUCCUUAUUUCUUUCAAGACUCAGCCUAAGAUUGGCCUUCCCCAGAGAGCCUUUCUGACUAAUUCCACACUGAGCUUACUUUAUUCCUGCAGCCCAAAUUGAUAUCUACCACAGUGCACCUUUUCUGCAAUUAUUGCAUUCACAUUUGCUGUUGUUGUUGUUGUUGUUGUUAGUUUGGGUAAUUAAAUAGUUUAUGAGAACUGGGCUGCAUCUUUCUCCUUUUCUAUCCCCUUUUGCAUCUUGCUUCAGACCUUGUACAGAGUCAGAGCAGUGUAAAUAAUGGCAGGAAUACAUGAAAUGCAAAUUUGCUUCAUGUUUCAUGGAAUGGUCUCCGGGUGCUGACCUGGCUGUUUAGGUCUGUUUCUGAGGUUGCCAGUUAGCCCGAUUAGUGAAUUUCUGUUGUUGUCCUACAAGGAAGUGAGUAACCAGAGAAGGACAAAUAUUGAAUCAGGGCAUCACAAGUUAGAAGGUACCAUUUUUUUCUUCUUUUUCCUUAUUGACAAAUAUUCUAAGUCCAUUAAAAGUGCAGGUCCUGUCAAGAAUUCUGGACCAGGAGUGAGGGCACUGUUGUCCUAGUGAAAGGCUUAAUCCUACUCACUAUAUGUCCUUCAGUAAGUCCUUAUGUCUUUGUUCUGCUGCAUCCUGGGGCUAGGGCAGAUCUGGCUUCAUUAUACACACUUACUAAUGUUUCUUCCUAUAUGACAUGAAGCUGUUGCAUUAGCAUGGUCUUUAAGAACUGCUUGUACCAUAAAAAUCUAAUGCCUACCUGCUUGCCUCUGAUGGGUAAGCACUGAUGCUGUGCAUUUCAAUUGCAGCAACUCUGCAGAUGCCUAUCGAUUUUUUGGAAGAUGUGUUUGUCCCCACAUGUGCUGUUUACACGUUCCAUGUAGAUUUUAAUGUCCACCCUAAACCUGCACAACCUUUGAGAACAGCCAGACAAAAAGUCCAGAGGGCACACUGAAGGAUUCUUACAGGAAGCUUAUAGCCUGUCUCCUUUGGCUAAUUUGCAAAAGCAUUUUUUGAUUUAAAACAGAAGGAGGGUGAAUCCCUGGGAGAAAACUCACAUCUACUAAUGUUCCUUCUGGAGUGAGUUAUGAGAGGAAGCCCCAGAUGGAUUACAGACGAAGGUUAAACUUUGAGACACUAAUUUAUUGAAAAGGUAAAGAUAGGAAAAGAACAAAAAGUGCCCUGGAAGCUAGGGCCGGGUGUCCUUUUUGCCCCAUGCUUUCCACUAUUUCAAGGAUCUCAAAAAGGCGUAUAUUCAUUUUUAAAGGCAAUGUCAUCCAGUGUCCCAAGGAAAAUAUUUCUCCCUUGGAAACAGUUGAAAUGACAUUCUAAUUAGAUUCUCUAAUUAGAUAAAAAUGGACAAACUUUAAAGGAGACAUUUCAUCUUGAAAAACAGCAAGGCUAAUAGCACAGUUUGCAGACCUGGUAUCAAAGCAUUCAGUGUCCUGAAAAAAUAUUUUUGUGUACAGUAAAAACAGUGAUAUGGAAUAUCACUUUUCAUCCAUUUGAAGAUACCUGUCAUGUUUACAUUUUAACAUCUUUGAAGUCACUUUGUAACCAAUAGAUGCUCAUGAUUGCUGUGAGUCAGAUAAGAGAUAGGCAGGCCCAGUUGUUAUCACAUACAUUAAUGAAAACCUGGUUAUUAUUGUUGGUGGUGUAGCCUAGCAAUCACAACCUCUCAGUACUUCAGUAACCAUAUCCAUUAAAGACCAUUUGGAGAAGUAAUAUAAAGCUUGAUUGUUUUCUGAAAAACUUCUGUUGAUACCCUCUGGUAAGAUUUAAAAAAAAAGCACUUUCAUCUAAACUCUCAGAAUAGGGGGCAGUAGUUUGUAAGAAAUUUCUGAGUACAAUAAUUGCGCCUUCAUCUAAGAAAUGCUGCAUGACCAACAUGCGUGAGAUAGACAAUGUGGAAGGCAAUUUAUCUAAUAUAUGUAAAUUGUAAUGUAUUUUCUGAAUAUCAGUACUUUAAUAUACAUUUUUUUGUUUUUACUCUCCUCAAAUUCUGGUAACAGGUCACACAUCUACAAAGCUCUCAUUCAGUGCUGUUGUCUGAAUGCCUGAUAUAGAGGCUGUCAUCAGGCACAUUUUGGAGAACAUACUUAAAAUGAUCUUUAUGGGAUUUCUCAAAAGUGUAUUUCUCUAAAAUGAAGUAUAUUAGGGGAAUUCAUUAAUGGCCUCCCUUAAUGGUAUGCUCAUAUCCACACCCUUUACAAUCUGUCUUUGCAUGAGGAGUUGGAGUCAAUUUCCUUGGGCUUUGAACCUGGGCUGGUCUGUGCAAAGAAAUACAGUUGAGUAAUGGUCUGCCUCUUCUGAGAGUAGGCUAGGCCUUCAAAGGCUUUGCACACUUGUUCCCUCUCUUAUAAUGCUGCCAAUGUCUGCAGACCAGCAGAGUGACCACAGAGACAAGAGUCCGGUUGUCCAUCCACAUCAACCUAGACCAAGUGCAUGAGUGAAUUCAGUGAAAAACAGCAGAGCUAGCUUUCCUUGUACGUACCUAAAUGAGGACUUGUGAUUGACUAUAGUUAAGGACAAUGGAAUUGGCCAACUGGCUUAUAGAUGCAUGCACAAUAAAUACAUGCUGUCUUAAGUCACUGAGAUUUGUUACACAGCAAAAGCUAACGGAUACAUGAAACACAACAUAUGCUCCUCACAUAAAAGCAGGUCAAUCUGCAGUUCACAUCAAAUUGCUUUUCCUUCAGAUGUUUUGAAUCUUUUGAAUCCCACAUAUCCAUCUAUUUCUGCAUUUCCUAGGAGCAGAAGCUCUGAAAUUCUGUAUGACAGGCUGCUCUUGAGAUAUUUUCAACUUCGUUGGAAUCAGGGUCUGCCAGAAAUGUCGUGAGACAGCUUGUUUAAGUGAGAUUUCCUGCUCAGUUUCUUUUUUUAAAAGAGAGAAAAAGAAAAAAAAAUAAUGAUUUUUGGAUGGGGUUUAUCUGUGCAGGACACAUUUGGGCAUGUAGUUGAGGGGGACCAAUGUGUGAGAAUCUUCACACUCUUCAGAAACUCUGGCAAAGUUUGAAACCACCUGAGAAUUCUUAAGAUUGAAUGUUUGAAGUGUGAUUCUAAAUUAAUAGCACUGACGUCACAGAUUUCUCCUACCAAUCAGUCCCUCACUCCUCAUAAAUGCUCUGUUUACAAAUUUACAAAUUGCUGUAUAUUCCUCUUUUUUUAAAAUAUAAGCUGGAUGUGGCCUUUCACUAUCCUGCUUAUUAAUUAUUGCAAGACUUUCCCCAUUUCUUUGCAGGCUUGUGCUGAAAUGUGAGAUUUUGCCAACUUACUAUUUGGUUAAUAUUUUACAUUUCAAUUUUCCAAUUCAAACCAGGGAACCAGAGAAGGGUAUGAAUAAAACUGAAGCUAUAGGUGUACAUUUAGAAAAAAGAAAGAGCAAAGGAUGAAUAUGUAUGAACCUUAUUUAAAAUGCCAUAUUUAUGAGGAGAGGAAAAAUAUUGGAGCCUCACUUUCCCUUUACAUAUUUUCAAAACACCACAUGGAAUUGAAUGGGACCAAGUGAAAAGUAUGAAAUUUGUUGAGUGUGGCGGGUGUUUGAGUGUCAGUGUGGGGAGAAGCUGGCAAUGUGAGUCCUCUGGGACUUGUGGGUAGGAGGACAUGCAGAAGCCUUUUGAGGAGGGAAAGAUGUGGCUUCUCUUGCGCCUGAUUUUCAAUGGGACAUUCGGCAGGAUGCUUGUGCUCUUUCUGUGCCAGUUUAGUUCACACUUGGGGCCAAAAUGUCAGAAGCCUUAACUUACCCCUCAAUGGGUCAGGGCAGGGGUCUGCAUCAGUCUCAGUGGUUUCUUUUCUGCCUUUGCGCUAGUGCUGUUGCCUGUUCUGGAUCUUAACCAAAGCCAAGCGGUGGUGAUAGGAAAAGGAAGAAAGGGCCAGAGAAAAUACUCAACUCUGGGGAUUUUAAGUCUGCCAAUGUUUGUUUUACCAGGAAGGAAGUAGGAGAAUUGAGGGAGGGAGAGGAAGAGGGAAGGAACAGUGGUUAUCAUCUUAGAACUGUAGGCAUGAA